GCAGCCCUUGGGGACUCUGGGCAGCGGGCGCGUGGACUCCGCAGCCAGAGUGAGCAGAAGCCACAGGCUUCCAGGAUGCGGGAGCGGAGGCUGACGGAGAGCCGGGAAGCGGCGGCAGGGACUCCAGCACAAGAGGGCUGUCCCCGCGUCCCGACCGCCACAGCCUGCUUGUUAUCCAGGAAGAUGUGUGGAAGCUGCCAUUUGCUUUCUCCCUGAUGGCUGCUGAGCCUAGAGAGGCAGCGUGGACACCAUGGACACUCACCUUAAGAUAGUGCUACUGAGACAUGUUAUCAGCAGCUCCUGCCCCAGCCUCAGACCCAGUCACGACAAGUACGGCUGCUGCGUGGAGCACGUCUCCUGAGCCCCUCAGGAAAUUCAGAGAGCCUCUCAGAGAACAAAGCUUUGGAUUGGACUAUAGCUUCGUCUGUGACUCUCUUUUUGCUGGCAAACUAUGGUGUUGGUUGAAACAAGAAGGUGCAAACCAUAAUCCAGUCACAAAGGCCAAAGGUUGAGGAAGAGGUUGCCAUUUCUCCAUCCUUUUUACCACUCAAGGGUCUGCCUCCCGAAUCCUUGUUAGAGUUGUUGGUACCUUGGCUUUAUACACAUACCCUGGUGUUUGAGUGCAUGUACUGGUGCUCAUAGCAGGGGUUUGAAGUUAGUGGUUCUGCUAUGCCCUAGCUGUCUGACUUCGGCAUUCAGUAAAUCUCUCUGAGCCUCAACUUUCUCACCUGUAUGAUGGGAGUAGUCAUGUCUGUCCUCCUUGUCUGGUCAAAUAAAAUCUCAGCUUUGUAAAUCUGAAACCUUAGGGCCCCAUACCUGGGUAGGAAGCUUGCAUGUUAUUUAACACAGCUUUUGUCUGCUGCAGGUGACCAUCCCUUACCAGCAUCCUGAGCAAAUAUUCCCCCAGCUUCAGACUGAACUCUAACUGAGCUCAGACAGGAGGAGCUCACCUCCUCAGGAGCUCAGGUAGUUAGAAAGUUCUUCAUUGUGUCAGGCUGAAAUCUGAACUCUCCAGUAACUUUUGCCUGCUGGUUUCUGUUUCAUCUCUGGAUCCAGCAUUUAAUCGCAAAGUCUUCUGUGUAUUAAAGACUUCUGUAAAAAAAAAAUACAGUCAAUUAUUUCAACUGGGUAUCAAGUCAUCUUUUCAGCUCCUUUGCUUGCUCUUCCCUUGGGGUUCUGAUCUGGAUUGACUGCAUGGGACAGAACAUGGUGCCAGGUGUUCCUGAACAUUCUCAAGGGUCCUUGUGGCAUCGGUUAUAAAACUUUUCCUGGUGAUCCCUAGAAGCAAGUCUGAUUAUUACUAAUGAUAGGUAUCCCCUACACAUAGUGAAUCUAUUCAAAUCCUAGAGCCAUAAUUGGAAAGGCAUGUUUCUUAACAUGCUUUAAAUUAUUUUAACUUGAAAGUAAUUUUCCCCUCUAUUACAUUGGAUUAUUUUUUUAUUCUGAAAAAUAAUAAAGAUGCAUUAAAUUUAAUA